CAAUAGUGUAUAUUAAAGUUAGUUGCAGUUAAAAAGACUCGUAGUUGGAUUUCAAGAAACGCAUCUGGGUCACCAGUAUGCUUUCUACCAGUCUCUGACUGUUACUGUGAGAAAAUUAGAGUGUUUCAAGCAGGCAAUUGCAGGAAUACAUUAGCAUGGAAUAACGAAUGGGUCUACAAUUUGGUUGAUUGUAGAUUGCGAUUAAUAGGGACAGUUGGGGGCAUUAUAUUUAAUUGUCAGAGGUGAAAUUCUUGGAUUAGUUAAAGACUAACGUAUGCGAAAGCAUUUGCCAAGGAUGUUUUCAUUAAUCAAGAACGAAAGAUUGGGGAUCAAAGAUGAUUAGAUACCGU
rnacentral:rRNA from 1 species